AAAACUGCAUUUGUUGGCUGGGCUGAUACUAAUAGAGAAAAUGACGCUGCAUACUUGAGUAUGCUAGGAAGAUGAGCAGGCAUAGGGUGGCUGGAGGUAGAGGCUUGAGGGAACCGGGCAGCCAUGGAAGGCGGCUGAAAGACUUUUGCUGAAGGUGGAUGAGAUGGAAGUGCAGAGGGGUGGUCGGCUAUUUGUGCUGCACACUCUUCUUUUUACCUUUCUCUCUCUUUGACUUUUGUGCUCAAACUUGAGUGAAUAGUAGUAAGUGGGCCAUGUAAGUCCCAUCCUUUGUAAUAUACUAUACGAAUUUCCCAAGCUGGGAACUAAUCUGUAAUCCGUGAAUUGUAAAUAAAAUACUGGUUCG
rnacentral:lncRNA from 1 species